UACGUAGGGGGCAAGCGUUGUCCGGAUUUAUUGGGCGUAAAGAGCGUGUAGGCGGUUAGGUAGGUCCGUUGUGAAAACUCGAGCUCAACCUCGAGACGCCGAUGGAAACCCCCUGAAACCUAGAGUCCGGAAGAGGAGAGUGGAAUUCCUGGUGUAGCGGUGAAAUGCGCAGAUAUCAGGAAGAACACCCGUGGCUAAGGCGGCUCUCUAGUACGGUACUGACGCUGAGACGCGAAAGCGUGGGGAGCGAACAGG
rnacentral:rRNA from 1 species